CAAUAACAUGAAUUCAGCACUUAUAUGUACUAUAUACGUAUAUGUAUAUGUAUGUGUGUGUGUGUGUGUAUUUCUAAGUAUAUAUAUAUGUGUGUGUAUUGUGAAAGAAGGAGAAGAGAAGAAGAAGAGAAGAAAGGGUGUGUAAAUGUGUACUGUGAAAGAAAGAUUUGAGGAGAUCUUGCCAUUAAAGUCGCUUUCUCUAUCUCUGACUCUCAUGGCGAAAGCGACCCCUCACCCUUCGUUUGAUUUACACAUUCACCAUUUUUCUUCCGUAUUUCCUGCAAGAAAACACUCACCCUUUUCUUAACCCGACACUGUUCCUCCGUUCCAUUUACUACUACCAUCUCUUCCUUAUAAAUAUUGCUGUAUUUAGCUAAGCAUUUAUUCAACUCACCCUCCAUCUUAUUCUUUUCUGCACUUCUAAUUUUAUUCUCUUCUUCUUCUUCCUCUUAUUCCCUGCUACUCUUAUUUGUUGCAUUCCAUUCUUCCUUUUGCAGCUUCAUCCAUUUAAGGGUCAAAGGUGGUACCUUUCCAGGUUUUUAUUUAAUUAUUUAUUUAUGAUGGGUAUGGUUAAUCAAUUGCUUUUUUGCAAUCUUAUUUGUGAACAUGUAUUGUUGUUCUCUUGUAAGAAUUAAUGUUUGUCUGGAAUGAUAUCCAUAAAGAUUAAAGAGUUUACUUGAUCAAGAGAGAUCAAAUGGAUUUUUAUUUUUGUUGGCUUAUUGUUGAUUUUAGGGUUUGUAGAGGAGUUCAGUCUUCCAAUUAGUAAGGUUGGAUCUCCAUAGUGAGUUUAUUUCAUUAAGAAAGAUCAAAUGGAUCUUGAUUUUUCUAGUCCAUCACUUUUCAAUUGAAAUUUUUGUUGGGAUUUCAAUUUGAUUGGUUCAAUUCCCAUUUUUCUUACUGAAGAAAUUUUACUAUUUUAAGUAUCUUUUUAGUUAAGAUGUCAUGCCUUUUUUUAAUUUUUUAAAUAUAUAUUAAGGUUGUUGCUUUGUUAAGUUCAUGGCUUUUGGCUUUGUGAUUGAUCCAUUUAUGAUCCUCUAUCUAGACUAAUAAGAUUGCCUGAAAAUGUUUUGAGCUAUUCCUUGUACACUGAAAGUUAUUUUCUAUGGAUGUUUAAAUUAAUAAUAAAGAUAUAUCUACGUAUGCACCUUGAUUUUAGCAUUUAUAAAACCAUUCACAGAUCAAUAAUAAUGAUAAUAAUAAUAAUAAUAAUUUGUGGAGUGUUAGGCUAGAGAGAAAAUGCCUCAUUUCUGCUUUCCAUGUUUUUCCUCCUUAAGGUAGAAAGAGUGACUUAAAGCUCCAUAUCCAUAUUCUGAGCAGUAACAAAGGAGUGACUAGCUUCCUAUGUGAAAUUAUUUUCUUUUAUCAACGAAAAUUAUCUUUUCUUAUUUUUCUUUACAGUGGAGAGAAGUUGCACAUGCUUCAUCUUCAUUCUUGUUUUGAAGAUUUUUCAAUGUUCAUAUUCUUCAUUUAAUUUCUUUAAAACCCAAUUUUGUUCAAGAAGUUGGUAAUCGCUGUUGUUUGUAUAUUUCUUUGUUAUUUUCUGGCAGGCAAAUAUGUGAAGAAAGUAACCUUCAUUUGCCCCUUUAAAUACUGUUCAGUUACUCAGUUAGAAUGCAAUUUUCUCUUUAUUGGAAUUUUCAUUACUUAACAGAUGAUUGAGUUAGUGGGAUAGUUCUGAGGCUUCGUUUGUGACAAUACAUGUUUGAAUCUCUUCUGAGGAAUCUAGUAAGUUGUUGAAUGCUAAGUAGUUGGAAGGCAGAUUAAAAUGUUAUGUUCUGUGACAUUAUACCUUAGCAUUAAAUCAUGGUUUAUACUAAUGACACUGGUUACUUUUGCUGAAUUGAGGAGUGGUUCGAGAGAGCUUCCUUCAGCCCACUCAUGGAUGAGAUUGGGGUUGAAUUAGCUGCCGACUCAUUCAUCCAACCACUCAGUAGAAAAGAAGAUGUUUUGUGCUACUGUGAUUGAGUGAAUGAUGCGGGAGAUAGUUUCUAUCCCUCUCUUCCCUUGCUUGGACUGAAGGGAGCUCCCUUUUUCCAUGCUUUCAUUUUUUUCCACCCUCGGGGAUUUACACUUUUUCCUUCAAAUGGUACAGCUUUCAACAGGUGGGAUCUUCUCCUCAUCUCCGUCAUAGAAUAAAUGUGACUAUCAGAGUUGGAGUUCCCACUUCGAUUGACCAUGCUGCUGUCAUGUAAUUUUAUUCAUGAGAUUCAUCUUUGGAAAACCAAAAGCCAAUUUCCCGAGCACUGAUGAAGGGUUAUUAUAAACAGCCUGACGUAUUAUUGGUCCCCGCCCCACUCUGGUCUUUUUAGGCAGCAGCAUCACUAAGUGGUAUUCACAGCUAUGAUAUUCCCUGUCUUGUUCAAUUUCUAUUAUAUUCUCUCUGUGGCAUUUGGUACUCCGAAGAUUUUAGGUCCCCCGAAGUCUAGAUCUUGUAAGAUUAUGAUGUUCCAUUUUCUGGAUUGAAGUAACAAUAAGGAAUAAGAAGGAACCUGGCCUCUCCUAUGGAUGCCGGUUGCUCUCUAGAGACUAACCUGGAUUUGAGUAAUUUUACUGAUACAGAAGAUUGGCGUUUGAGUGGCUGUUGGGGUUAUAGCAGCAUAGAUGGAUGCAUUAACGAGUUUGAAGACAACAUGAUGCCAUCAAAAGGCUUCAUUGAAGGCUGAGUGGUCCCCUCGGGGCUAAAGCCUGAGUUCAGGAGUUUGAACUCAUGUGUAUGCAGCAACACCGGGAUGAGCGGCCCCCUCGGGGAUGAAGUGUACAUAGUUUUAUAGUUUUGUGCAAAGUGUUGUUUAGUUGAACGUCCAACAUUUGGUCCUCCUACCUAAUGGGUUGUUGAAUCAUUGUGAUUUACUUACUACAUUCACAAAUCCUGUCGGGCUGGGAUGUGGGGGCCCGGGGCGAAGGAUUUCGCGUUUAUGUGGGCAAGUUGAAUGCCCAACGGAGUGAGGGCUUGCACAUGUACUUUAUUUCGUUGUGGACUUGUUUUUCUUAGUUGCUUUCCCUUUCGAAAUUGACA